UACGUAGGGAGCAAGCGUUGUUCGGAUUUACUGGGCGUAAAGGGCGCGUAGGCGGCUUGUUAAGUCAGCUGUGAAAUCUCCAAGCUCAACUUGGAACGGCCAGCUGAUACUGAUGUGCUAGAGUGCAGAAGGGGCAAUCGGAAUUCUUGGUGUAGCGGUGAAAUGCGUAGAUAUCAAGAGGAACACCUGAGGUGAAGACGGGUUGCUGGGCUGACACUGACGCUGAGGCGCGAAAGCCAGGGGAGCAAACGGG
rnacentral:rRNA from 1 species